UACAGAGGUCUCAAGCGUUGUUCGGAUUCAUUGGGCGUAAAGGGUGCGUAGGCGGCGCGGUAAGUCGGGUGUGAAAUCUCGGAGCUCAACUCCAGAACUGCCUUCGAUACUGGCGAUCUUGAGUCCGGGAGAGGUGAGUGGAACUCCGAGUGUAGAGGUGAAAUUCGUAGAUAUUCGGAAGAACACCAGUGGCGAAGGCGGCUCACUGGCCCGGUACUGACGCUGGGGUGCGAAAGCGUGGGGAGCAAACAGG
rnacentral:rRNA from 1 species